rnacentral:rRNA from 1 species
GACGGAGGAUGCAAGCGUUAUCCGGAAUGAUUGGGCGUAAAGCGUCCGCAGGUGGCAGUUCAAGUCUGCUGUCAAAGACCGGGGCUUAACUUCGGAAAGGCAGUGGAAACUGAACAGCUAGAGUAUGGUAGGGGCAGAGGGAAUUCCUGGUGUAGCGGUGAAAUGCGUAGAGAUCAGGAAGAACAUCGGUGGCGAAGGCGCUCUGCUGGACCAUAACUGACACUCAGGGACGAAAGCUAGGGGAGCGAAUGGGAUUAGAUACCCCAGUAGUCCUAGCCGUAAACGAUGGAUACUAGGUGUUGUCUGUAUCGACCCGGACAGUGCCGUAGCUAACGCGUUAAGUAUCCCGCCUGGGGAGUACGCACGCAAGUGUGAA